GGGGAAGUCGGAUAGUGGCUAUUCCGUGUGCUUAAGGUGCCUCUCGCUUAGGCGACGGUUACAAUUCGCACAUCCUUCGGGGCGUGGGUUCGAAUCCCACCUUCCUCA